AAAAAGAAAGUCGGCAAAUUAUCAAUGUUCACAGUACAGGAGUGACUGCAAAAAACACACAUAUAAGUAUAGUAACUAGAAAAAAAUAAUUACAGUAAUCUGAAGGAAUGGACCCACAGUCAAGCUUGUACUAGUGACUGACUCCAUAACGUAAACCUGGCCACAUUCAUAGAUUAAUUGUCUUUUUCCCAUAGACCCGAGCAUCCAGAAUCUUGUCCAUAGUGGCCAGUUAGAGAAACCCGUGUGUGGGCUGAUGGAAGGCUAACUUGUCUGUUCACCUCAAUUUUGUCCCAUUUUAGAACCAGAAGAGCUAGAAAAGCCGAUGUGUGGGCUGAUGGGAGAGGAAGAGGAGGAAGAAACAGAUGGGGAAGAGGUGAUCAAUGCUCAGGCAUCAUGGGAAAAGUGGAAGAAGAGUUAUAUUGGUACAAUGAUCGGAGCAGGCAUAGCAGUGGUCAUCUCUGGCCUGUUUAUGUAUCUCGAAAGUUAGACCAGUUCUUACCCGUUUUACCAGCUUACAAUAGACUGAUCCUAACUGUCCAUCAGUUAACAGAUCAACCAAUGAUAGCAUGGUAGUAUAACCACAGUUUAACCAAUGAGAGAGUGGCUGCACGUCCAUGAAAUAUUUGCAUUUUUAUGUUUUUAUUUUGCAAUUCUACUGUUUGUCGGAGGUGGACAGGGCUAUGGGAUCGGUCCAUUGAAGUUCUAUUUUACUUUUAUGACGUACGCAAAGAAUAGAGUUGUUUACUAGUGUUUGAUUAAGAAGUGAAAUUCAAUGGGACCAUAAGAUAUGUUUUAAGGUAACUUAGUAUGUGUAACAGUGAAGAGAUCUAUCCUUUCUGGCUCAAACCAACUUUGCUGUAGUGUUACCACCAUUGACAUUUCAUUGAAUGAUUUGAUAACAUUGAUUUGUGCAGGAAUAAAUGUUAUGAACUGUUAUUAAAAUAUUAUGAAUCUAUUAGGAUUUGUAGGCUCAUCAAAUGAACCUGCUGUAUUCACAAUAUGCACAAUGUAAUUACUAGCUGAAAGUCUUUUUGACUAUUGUCUUUUUGACUAUAAUGUUACAACUCUUAUAUACUGUAAAGUGAUUUGUACAAAGUGACUUAAGUUUGGCAUUGAACACUUUCAUUUAUCAUGAUUGUAAUAAGCCAUUGUACCACUGGGUUUAUGCUAGCCUGGGCUCGAGGUAACAAUUUUGAAAUUUGACUGAGAUAGCAACAGAGGCUUAACUUUUUAUGGUUUCUACUGUCUUUGAGAGAUAAAUAGUAAAAUACAUACACAAAUGUAUUGAAAUGUUACAAGGAAGCAAUCAAUGUAGCAAGAAACUUGUGGUGGUGGGGGCUACAAAGUUCAGUAUCCAACUAUGUGAAAUUGGAGGAAAACUAAUCUGUGCCAAUGACUUUUACUAAUGGAUUGUACAAUUUUGUAUCUUACUUCAUUACAUGUAUCAAUGAAUACGCAGAGAUGACAAUGACUGUAGCAACAUUGUCUUCAGAACAACAAUGCAUUUGUUAACACAA